GCAUUCGUCCCUUCAAGAAUGAAUACCAACACAACGACUCAACGGAGCAGCCCCUUUAAAGCCACAGAGAGGUAGAUAUGAAGGCCGUGCGAGUCCAAACGGUACACUUUUCGUCCAAAAACGCAAGUGGAGAAACAUUUCCAAAGGGGUCAUCAUAUGCUGACUAAACAAGUUUUGCUAUUGUGACGUGCGCCAACGUAAUCGGAAGCAGGCAAGUGUCAAGUAUAAGGGUGUAAAAAGUCAUUGAGAUCAACGACUGUUAUAAGGAUGCUGCACAAACAAAAAGCUUUCUUGACAACUGUGGUGAUCUUUGUUUUGACGUACGGCCCUUCGACCGCAUUAAUUAACGGUCAAGAAAUAGCCAGCGAUCAGGAAUAUUCGACAACCGAUGGAAAAGGCGAUGGAACAUUAAAUGCGAUGAAAGCUGGACCAACAUCAGAGCCAAAAACUCGGCCAUGCAAUUCCUGUGAGAUGGAGAAAUGUCGCCUUCACUGCAAAGGAACAUGCCGACAUUGCCAAUACCACUUUUGCCAUGUGAAUGACGGUGAAUAUAGCUGUAAAUGCCUUCGCAAUCGUCCAGCCGGAGUUGCUGCACACGUCGAUGAAGUCGAAGAAAGUGGACGACGACGACGUUCGGUCCGAAUGCGUCGCGUAAUGCGGGUAUCUCAUUAUCUCCCGCCACGGAGAGGAAGGAGAGUGCGUAAUUGCCACAAGCAAUGACAUCAUCACCUGACAUUUUAUCGAACUGAUGGGUCGUCGCGAAGAAGACAUAUAAUACCUAAAGAACACCGUUGGCUGAAAAAACUGAGAAGCUGAAAAAACUAAGUGUGGGAGGUUGCUCUAUUACACAAAGUAAAGAGAACAGUGUAAUAUUAAUAAUAAAGGUACCGUUUAUAUACAAAUAUAGUUUGCCUUAAUGCAACUAACAGUAUAUGAUUCAGAGAUGUAGUAAAGAGCAUAUUUAGACUUACAAACUUCCCGAAGCUGUUUGAUUCAGCGUUGCAAUGACGUGCCUUUGUUAUCUUUUUUUUUUACUCUUUCGUGAUAUCUCGUAAUAAUCAGAUCGUAAUAAUCGUAAAAUAAUCAGAUGAUAUUGUUUUUUUUACUAAUUCCGAAUUUUAACAUACACAUCUUAAGCCACUGAAAAAUUUAGGCAAAUAGGCGAUAUUAAGAAAUCGAUAUUUACUGAAAACCUCUAAUUGUAUCUUAGUGAACCACUGUACCCAAUUUGAAUCGAACAUUACUUAAGAUUCCAAUUUUGGGCGUAUAAGAGCUAAACAACUUCAUUACUUAAUUGAUUUUACAAAUUUUUGUCUAGAUGCCCAUUCGACAGAAUUAACGCGAUUGGAAAUAUUUGCCCACGCUUUUUUACAUAUAGUGCUUAGAGUAGCCCUAUCAUUCGUACAGUAUAAGAACGUUGUUUCUUGUAGCAUUAUACAAUGUAUUAAAAACUUGUGCAACCAAUUCCAUCUGUUUACUAAGUGAAUCAUAAUCGAUAUCGCGACACCCUAUAUAUGAAGCAAUACAAUGACGAAUAAUCGAGCCACGACACGCGCUGUAACUACGCAUUUUAUUUUAACCUGGAUCUUUGCGAACGUUCACACUGAGGAUUCACGGGCCGUAGUGAUUUAUGGUGGCCGUCACAAAUUUCGGAUUCCUUUUUAUCAAAACUCAACUAUGCUAAACGUAUAGCAAGUCUCAAAGAGGUAAUCACCUAUGUCUUGAGUUUUACAUCUGGUAUCGAUGUUUGGCAUUCAAUCAGAACGAAGUCGGUCUACGCCCGGAUCCAAACCUAGACAACAACGUGUCCCUACGAUUAUCAUAACAAGGCUAUAACAAGCUAUAACAAGGACACGCAUCGACGAUGUCCUUAUGGUCUACGAAGUUGAACGACAGCAUAAUAGUAUAAAUUGAUAAGCAUAAUAAUAUGAAGAAUAAAUGUUGUUCGUUCCUGUUAUUUUGGGAGCGGAAACAUACUACGCAUAUCCUUCAGGCAGGUGUACGUCAAGCUUUCAAUUUUCAGAGAGAAUUUAUCAAGGAACUGUAUAUGGACAGCAAAUGAAGCGCGUGUUCUAGACAAACUGAAUAAAUUACGAAUUUUUUUGUCUUGAAUUUUACGUCCAGUAUUGCCGUUUACCGAAUACAUUUUAUAGGUUGUAAGGGUGCUCUUCGAAUUCAUGUGUUUGAAGGAAUUCGGUUUCCUGAAUACGUUUGAUAUAAUUUCAUAGAUUUUUCGAUAUGCUUGUCAAUGAUCGUUAAUGGCUACACCACUAAACGCUGCCAAUGCGCAUAGGUGCCUAGCGCUUCAAGCGUAGUAAAAUAAUUUAGCGUUGAAUAUAUUUGAA
rnacentral:lncRNA from 1 species